GACGAACGCUGGCGGCGUGCUUAACACAUGCAAGUCGAACGGAAAGGCCCUGCUUUUGUGGGGUGCUCGAGUGGCGAACGGGUGAGUAACACGUGAGUAACCUGCCCUUGACUUUGGGAUAACUUCAGGAAACUGGGGCUAAUACCGUAUAGGAGCUCCUGCUGCAUGGUGGGGGUUGGAAAGUUUCGGCGGGUGGGGAUGGACUCGCGGCUUAUCAGCUUGUUGGUGGGGUAGUGGCUUACCAAGGCUUUGACGGGUAGCCGGCCUGAGAGGGUGACCGGCCACAUUGGGACUGAGAUACGGCCCAGACUCCUACGGGAGGCAGCAGUGGGGAAUAUUGCACAAUGGGCGGAAGCCUGAUGCAGCAACGCCGCGGGCGGGAUGACGGCCUUCGGGUUGUAAACCGCUUUCGCCUGUGACGAAGCGUGAGUGACGGUAAUGGGUAAAGAAGCACCGGCUAACUACGUG
rnacentral:rRNA from 1 species